ensembl:lncRNA
CCAAAUGUUGCCUUUAAACACUCUUCCCUGAAGACCAUCGGGCAGUUCAGCUCUUUUGAUCAGGAACCGCCCAUCAUCCUUGCUGGGCCCUGCAGACAACGCUGUGCUUGGCUUCACCACAAUGCAGUGAUCCAGCGCACAGCACAUGCUCAGUAAGUCUCUGUGGCAGGAACUCCCACAGCAUCACCAUCCCUGCCUGAACCACACCUGUGCCUCCCAGGUGGUGCCUAUUAUAGCUUUGAGGAAAAGUUUCCUUUUCCUAAAGGAAAUCAACCCUGAAUAUUCAUUGGAAGGACUUAUGCUGAAGCUGAAGCUCCAAUACUCUGGCCACCUGAUGCGAAGAGCUGACUCUGAUGCUGGGAAAGAUUGAGGGCG